rnacentral:rRNA from 1 species
GCCUACGGGAGGCAGCAGUGAAGAAUAUUGGUCAAUGGGCGGAAGCCUGAACCAGCCAAGUCGCGUGAGGGAAGAAGGCCCUGCGGGUCGCAGACCUCUUUGGACGGGGAGCAAGGCCGCCGACGUGUCGGCGGAAGGAGAGUACCCGUAGAACAAGCAUCGGCUAACACCGUGCCAGCAGCCGCAGUAAUACGGAGGAUGCGAGCGUUAUCCGGAUUUAUUGGGUUUAAAGGGUGCGCAGGCGGCACGGCAAGCCGGCGGUCAAAUCGCGGGGCUCAACCCCGCCCCGCCGUCGGAACUGCCGG